GCUCCUGCCAUUAUACCUAAGGCGGACAAUGCCAUUGGCUGCACGGAGUCGCAUUAACAGAAAUCUCAUGCAGCCCUGUUUACAGGUUAGAACGCUGCAAUUUGAGAUGUAAUCUACACCUCGAUUAGGCUGAUAGAAAUCCUCAUUAUUUAGUUUAAUGAUUUUGAAUUUGAGCGUCAUUAUUUCUAUAUAACCUACACUUUCUCGUUCUGAACUAGUAACGAGAGUAGGACGGGUGUAGUUUUGUGACAAUGAUCAAGAGCUGCUGCUUACUGAUUUGACAUAUCCAACGCAGUUACACCUCCGACACGGCCAAAACAUCAGCUAUGUGGUGUCGGCUAUCGCAGGUUAACUCUUGAUCUGAUUGAAUCUAGGCCUUACACUCAUUCAGUCUAUUUAGUUGUAUGAAUAUUGUCAGUUAAGAAAAUUGUGCCUCUCUCUUUUAGAUCUGCCACCCCCAGCAGUUCAGCAGCAGUCACAGCUGUCCUCUGCUACACCGGUUCCUACUACACUGGCCGUGAAGGGAGAAACCUUUGAGAAUACCUAGAUGGAUACAGAUCUGGCAUGCACUAGACCACUGCCUGACAGCCUCACCCAGAAGACACUGGGCCUAUCAAGACUGACAAAGCAGAGAUGGGCGGCUGACAAGGAAAAAUAAAACAGAACUUGCACUCACACACAUUAUCCACAAUGUAAAUAAGUUGUAAUUACUUGUUUAUUUAAUGUUUGCUCCAUUUUAUUUUAGGAUUGGAGAUAUCUACUCCUUCAUAUCCAUACUCAAUAUCCCACAUAAUUACUCUAAAUAUCAAUCAAAUCAAAGUUGAAAACAUGUCUCCCUCUCACACACACUAGACCAAAUGUAAAUAAAUUGUAAUAACUUGUUUAUUUUAUGUAUGCUCCAUUUUAUUUGAGGAAAAUAUCUGCAAUAAAGUACAUUCACAGUUAAAGCAAUGGCUUUGAUUUAUUGGAUAUUUCUCUGAAUACAUUGUGUGACCAGAAGGAAGUCGGCAGACCUGCAACCCUUGGACUGUGUAGGUUUUGUCAUCUGGAGCUGAAAAAUAGAGAGAUGGGGAGGAAGAGUGCAGUUUAAAGGUUUAUCAUUAAUAACUGACACAAUGCUAGA
rnacentral:lncRNA from 8 species